rnacentral:rRNA from 1 species
CCAGACUCCUACGGGAGGCAGCAGUGGGGAAUAUUGGGCAAUGGGCGCAAGCCUGACCCAGCAACGCCGCGUGAAGGAAGAAGGCUUUCGGGUUGUAAACUUCUUUUGUCAGGGACGAAGCAAGUGACGGUACCUGACGAAUAAGCCACGGCUAACUACGUGCCAGCAGCCGCGGUAAUACGUAGGGAGCGAGCGUUGUCCGGAAUUACUGGGCGUAAAGGGCGCGUAGGCGGGAACUUAAGUUAGAUGUGAAAACUCCGGGCUUAACCUGGAGACUGCAUUUAAAACUGGGUUUCUUGAGGGCAGGAGAGGAAAGUGGAAUUCCUAGUGUAGCGGUGAAAUGCGUAGAUAUUAGGAGGAACACCAGUGGCGAAGGCGACUUUCUGGACUGUACCUGACGCUGAGGCGCGAAAGCAUGGGGAGCGAACAGGAUUAGAUACCCUAGUAA